UCCGGCGAGUGGCGAACGGGUGAGUAAUAUAUCGGAACGUACCGAGUAAUGGGGGAUAACCAAUCGAAAGAUUGGCUAAUACCGCAUACGUCCUACGGGAGAAAGCGGGGGAUCGCAAGACCUCGCGUUAUUCGAGCGGCCGAUAACUGAUUAGCUAGUUGGUGGGGUAAAGGGCCUACCAAGGCGACGAUCAGUAGCGGGUCUGAGAGGACGAUCCGCCACACUGGGACUGAGACACGGCCCAG
rnacentral:rRNA from 1 species